AGAAUGACUUUCUACAAGUUCACAUGUGAGAUGCUCACCCAGCUAUGGGUGCAGGAAUUUGAAGACGAAAGAUGCCUCCACAAGCAUGAACCCAAAGCACCACUAUGGAGGAGGCAGAACAGGAAGAGGACACUGAAGCAACCUCCCGGGCUGCCUGUAAGUCUCCUCCUACCCUCCUUCUUUGGCAGUAUUGGAAAUGGAACCCAGGGCUUUGCCCAAGCUAGAUAAACACUCUAUCACCGAGGUACACCCAUGGCCCUCCUGUAAGACUGGAAAAGAUUGUGCCUUAUAAACUUGUGCUUCAGUGGUGGUGAGACAUCAUUAAAUCUGAGCCAUGGAAAGGCUCUGAAUCAGAACAAAGAUCACCCAAGAGCAUUCCUAAAGUGCUGCCUGGUAUGGUGGUAUAGCACUUGAGAAGCUGAGGCAGGAGGAUAGCCUCAAUCUACAUAGUGAGUUCAAGACCAGCUUGAACUACAUAGUGAGACUCUGUCUUAAAAACACCAAAGAAAAAAUUUAUAAAAAGAACAUUCCAGAAGAAGUGGUCACCAAGAGGCAUGCUAUGCAUGAGGCUCCCACAGUGAGUCCAGCUGCCAGCACUAACUCCACACUGAAUCACCUCCACCUCCUGGUCUGGCAAAGGCCAAACCACGGUCACCUCCCAGUUAGGGAUGGAAGCUCUGGAGUAAGGGACUUGUUGGUGCUACUGGGCAGCGUGUAUGCCAGGAAAGGAUCAAAGAAAUCAGACCUAGUCAGUGGUAGGUUACAAAGAAAGAGCCAACACUUCCCAGGAGAGGAAUCACAAUCCAGCAGGAGCCACACUCAAGAGAAAAGACCACAGAAACGGGAGAAAAAUGGAGGGCUUUGGUGGUGAACCUGCAGUGUGAUGAUGCAGUUCCAAAGUUUCACCAUCACUGACUCAGGAGGUAGAUGUAGGAAGUAGGCGCUCAGCCUGUUGCUGGAGUCUUUAGAGGAAGAAGCCCUUUCCUCUUGAUGGCCAUAAACCCUGGCUGCUGUGGCAUGGGGACUGGCAUGAGCAGCAGGGAACAGAAGUUGGUAGCUUGGCUCUCCUAAGGAGGGACCUGGCACCUAAUAAGGCCAAGCUCACUGCCUGCUGCCUACACCUCAACUCAUCCCCCAGCCCUGAAGCUCCACUUUUAACCACCUUCAAGAAUGUUCCCAGCUCAGAAGCUCAUUUCUACCCUCUAUGUAGUUCCACCCUUCUUUCAGGCCAGCAGAGGAAACAGUGCUCAGGCCCAGGCAUGGCAAGGUGUGUGGGGUGCCACACACCUUAUCACUCUUUCCAAAUAUGUGCGCUGAGGACUUACUAUUUACGAAAGGCCCCGCCCAGGGAACUGACCUUCCAACAGGAGACAAACCACAUACCUAAAGCAAAUGUCCUGUGCAGCAGGCACAGGAAGUGACAUAUGAACCACAUGAGAACAAAUCAUGCCAAGAUCUGGAGGGAGAAGGCUGGAGACAGAUCCAAGAUGGCGAGCAGAAGUGCCAGCCUCAAGGCCUCAUGCAAUGCUACUUGCACUUUGUGAAACCCUUCACCAAACUGGAGGCCACAUCUGCCUCCUCUGAUGUUCUCCAAUUUUUCUGUACGCUCAGUCCAGCCUUCACCCGAGCACUGAAUCCAUGUAACGACUCCAUACCAGGGACAGGGGAAAGACAGGGCCCACUGCCCUCCUUCUAGUGAAGGCAAAGGUGACAAGGAAACCAGGGAAAUUUCUGGCAUGUGCACAGCACACAGCUGAAGGAAGUGAAACGGGAAUCCAGGAAGGUGACCUCAGAGCAGAGGUGAAGGCUGAGGAGCCACCUGCUUGACUAGAAGUGUGUUCCAGGAGAGGGAGCAGCAAGGGGAAGGGCUCUGAAGAGGAACCAGCUUGCAAGUUUGAGGAAGAGAAAGAUGGCUGAGAGCGGCGGUGAACAGGUGUGGUGAGUGUGGUAAGCAGGAGGGGCAGUAGAGCAAGGAGCCUGGGCUUUAUUUAACGUGCAACAGGAAGCCACCGCAGUUCUGGGCAGGGAAGUGAGAUGGUCCAGAUACUGCUCAGUUAAUGACUGGGGACCUGCCAAACGCUCUGCUGAGUAACUACAUCCAAUAACUGUGGCAAAGAGGAGCAGGCCAGGGGCCAAAUCAGAAUCCCACAGAGCUACAGGAGGCUGGGGGUGAUGAGGGCAGCAUGGCUGUCAGGCAAUGAGUAUAGUAAGAGAGCUCAGCAUCCUCAGGGGGAGACAGCAGGUCAGCCCCAGCCUGGGUGGCAGGAGGAAGCCUGCACUGCCAGCUGGUUGUGGGGCAUCCUCCUGGAACCAGCGACAGUUCCUGAGAAGACUGAGAUGCCAUGGAGGUACAGAGGAGACAAGAACGCAGCCAAAGGGAGGUGGCUGUGGCUGAUGACAGCAGCAUAGCCUAGCUGGGCAACAGGAAAAGGCCCCACAAAAACCCACUACAGGGGCAGGGGCAGGAGAGAAGGCCUGGGUGCUGGCCACGGGGUGGUCCCUCCACAGCUCCACCUCUCAGAUCCCUUUUCUAUUCCCCAGGGUUGGUCACUCCAUCUUACUCAGCAUAUUUCUCAGAAAUGAAAGUGCUAAAAACUGGUCAGCGCAAACAAUUUAACCAAUGGGAAAAUGAAAGAAAAUUACCAUAUAAAGCCAUGCAUGCUGCAGAGAGUUGAUCUGUGUAGGGGCUGCCAGGGUUACCCCCAGAAACUUAGAUCCACACUCCUGCUACUGCAAGCUCCAAUAGCUGCAUGGAAAGAGAAAGCGACGUCCUGACAACCAUAUUGGCAGUGAAGCAGGGACCCAGCACUCUGGGCUUUUUGUCAGCCUCCAGCGCAAGCUCCUGUCCCCAGCCCGGGACCUGGACGCCAGCAAAGGCCCUUCUGGGUGAGGGGCUGCAGAGGUCCCUUUCUCCAGGGAAGUCGGGGCCGGCAGGCACCAGCGAGCCGAGUAUCCUACCCGGAGCCCCGCCAGGCGGCGCGCGGCGACCAGGGAGGGUCACGGCACCUCGCUGGCGCAGGGAGAGAAGGUGGGGAGCCCGACGCCCCCUGCACCCGCUCCUCCUACGCCCCCAAUAUUCCCUGCCCGCGGCCCACCAGUCAGUUGGGGACUUCUCGUCGACCACCAGCCCGUAGGCCUCCUGCAGUGCCGGCCCGUUCCGGCUCAGGUUCGCCGCCAUGGUCCGUCCCGCGGUCCCCAGCAGUAGCUGCCGCAGCUUUCCGACCAGCCACCCCCGACAGCCGGAAGCCCCGCCCAGUGGCCGGAAGCCUCGCCUCUGUCGAUCGGAAGCCCCGCCUCGGAGGCCGGAAGCGGAAGUGGAGGCGGGGGCAGUCAGUGAGUUCGGUUAAAGCACUUCUUCGAGAGUUCUCAGAUUCACGAGGCCUCCGGACGGGAUUCACCGAGCGUGUUUUGGAUCAUCAGAAUUCUGAUCUAUGCGUACAUCAACGAAUACGUGAAUAAAUGUUAGGUGACGAUUGCA